rnacentral:misc_RNA from 1 species
UACGGAGGGGACUAGCGUUGUUCGGAAUUACUGGGCGUAAAGCGCACGUAGGCGGAUUGGCAAGUUAGGGGUGAAAUCCCGGGGCUCAACCCCGGAACUGCCCUUAAAACUGCCAGUCUUGAGUUCGAGAGAGGUGAGUGGAAUUCCGAGUGUAGAGGUGAAAUUCGUAGAUAUUCGGAGGAACACCAGUGGCGAAGGCGGCUCACUGGCUCGAUACUGACGCUGAGGUGCGAAAGCGUGGGGAGCAAACAGG